GAUCAUGGCUCAGGAUGAACGCUAGCUACAGGCUUAACACAUGCAAGUCGAGGGGCAGCAUGAACUUAGCUUGCUAAGUUUGAUGGCGACCGGCGCACGGGUGAGUAACACGUAUCCAACCUGCCGAUGACGUCGGGGAUAGCCUUUCGAAAGAAAGAUUAAUACCCGAUGGCAUAGUUCUUCCGCAUGGUUGGAACUAUUAAAAGAAUUUCGGUCAUCGAUGGGGAUGCGUUCCAUUAGG
rnacentral:rRNA from 1 species